UGUUUCCUUGACUGGUUCCUUAUCUCAUCUGCCUCUUGGACCCUUAACAUGACCCUGCUGUUCCUGGCUCUCCUACCUGAAUCGCAUUUGCCCUCCAGCUCUGGCUGCUAAGCCACACCCGUCAGGGCCCCAGGGAAGGAAGGGUCGUGUAUUUUGGACCAAGGCCAGCUUCUUGCUCAUCUCCCUCAAAAUGUACGGAAGAGGCUUUAGUGGUCCACACCUGUAAUCCCCCCAGCACUGGUGUUAGGAAGUUUAAGGUUAUGGCCUGCCUGGACCAUGUAAAAGGGAAAUGUGUGAUCCUGCUUCGGAGCCUUGGACCCGGAGGCCUGGAGUGUCUUGAAAUGCAGCCCUUGGGCUGGAGCGCCGCUCAGCUCUGUGUUCAAGGGUGCUUCCACUCUUGAGAGAACCUCAGUUCAUUUCAGAGUACUUUACGUGGGGUGGCUCAUGACAGUUGGCACCCCCAGUUCCAGGGGAUCCAGCUUCUGGCACCCACACAGAAUUGGCAUACAUUUACUCAGACACAUUAACAAAAAUAUUUUAAGAAAUUUAUACCUAUGCAUAUGAACGUUUGGUCCGUAUGCAUAUCCAUGUAUCAUGUGCUCUGUGCCCAAGAUGGUCAGAAAAGGGCGUCGGAUGUCCUGGAAGGACAGAAAGAUGGUUUCGAACCGACAUGUGGGUGCUGGGAACCAACCCUGGGUCAUCUGCAAGAGCAGCAAGUGCUCUUAGCCACCAAGCCAUCUUUCCAGCCCCAAUAAAACUUAUGUCUUAAAGGAA
rnacentral:lncRNA from 1 species